UUGCGUGGCUUAAAGUAGGAGAAGCAGAGCUAAUUACAGGAUAAUCUAAUUUCUAUACAUAAUAUUACAGCCAAAUACAGGUAUAAAAUGGAAAAAUGAGGCUAUAAUAUAUGGGAUAUCUAGAUCUACACAUAACUUAAAUGGGUUACAAAAUCUGACAGCCACAGUUUAGCAUUUACAAGGAGCAAGGCAGCUUGCACGGUUGGUUCCUCCAUAUUUGGAACUUAUCUUGGCAUGCUUGUCCAUAAAAGUGAACCAACUUUUAGAGCUGACAUGCAAGACAAGGUGUGGAAGACUUGCAUGUUGACACUCUUUGCGAAACGAGCAAAUCAAGAAAUGGAUUGAAAGAGUGCCUAUGAAGGACUGUCUACGAUGGAGGAUGAGGAGCGAUUUAGUUGAAUGAGCUUUGUCCUAGAUGCUCUGACAUUCUUGAGUGUCAUCUUCAGUUUUUGCCUUUCACCUUCAACCUCAGCAAACUGGAGGCUUAACUGAGAGUACCGAUCAUGCAUUUCCCUCAGUUCAUUCUCCUUAGCUACUUGCUUUUCUUUGAUUUCCAACAUUUCUUUGAUCAACUCAUUGAUGUCUCUGAAGCUUUUGAAGAUUGCUUCAUCGUCACUAUGUUGUUUCAGAAACGAACUCUGGAACAUACUCGGUUUAUUUUUUGCCUUUAAUGCUUCAGCAAGCUCAAUUUCCAGGGCAAGUACCCUCUCCAAUGCAUUACCAGUGGUAGCUGUAUCCUUGAAUGUUGGGAACAUGCUUCGGAGCUCUUCAUUUGCCUUGUGUAAUUGGACCAGUUCGCUCUGAAAAAUUUCAAAGCCUUGAUCAGAAUAAUGGUCCUCAGGGAUGAGAGAGUUUUCACGUUUCAUCCUUUCCAACUCUUCAUGUAGAUGUUCCAUGCUAGACCUAAAAUUCCUGCUUGCAAACUGUUCACUGCUGAAAUCUAUAUGUCUUCCGUUGCUGGGUGGUGAGUAACCUUCUUGAGGUGCAUCGCCAGUUGUUGCAUGAACACCUACUGAUGCAGCAUCCGGACUGAGUGGAAGUUUCACUGGCGAGCUUGAUUCUUCACUUCUAUCAUCCAUAAAUAAGGUUGUUUCCUUCACAUUCCAAGCAUCAGAUGAAUCCUCUCGAGGUGUGGCAUCAGGAGAAG
rnacentral:misc_RNA from 1 species